rnacentral:rRNA from 1 species
UCUGUAGGCGGUGCGGCAAGUCGGGAGUGAAAUCUCGGGGCUUAACUCCGAGUCUGCUUCCGAAACUGCCGUGCUCGAGUGUGGGAGAGGUGAGUGGAAUUGCAGGUGUAGCGGUGAAAUGCGUAGAUAUCUGCAGGAACACCAGAGGCGAAGGCGGCUCACUGGACCACAACUGACGCUGAGAGACGAAAGCUAGGGGAGCAAACAGGAUUAGAUACCCUGGUAGUCCUAGCCCUAAACCAUCAGGACUUGGCGUGGGUCCCGUUCGGGGCCCGUGUCGGAGCUAACGUGUGAAGUCCUGCGCCUGGGGAGUACGGUCGCAAGGCUGAA